rnacentral:rRNA from 1 species
UACGGAAGGUCCGGGCGUUAUCCGGAUUUAUUGGGUUUAAAGGGAGCGUAGGCCGGAGAUUAAGCGUGUUGUGAAAUGUAGACGCUCAACGUUUGCACUGCAGCGCGAACUGGUUUCCUUGAGUACGCACAAAGUGGGCGGAAUUCGUGGUGUAGCGGUGAAAUGCUUAGAUAUCACGAAGAACUCCGAUUGCGAAGGCAGCUCACUGGAGCGCAACUGACGCUGAAGCUCGAAAGUGCGGGUAUCGAACAGG